AUUCUCCUGCCUCAGCCUCCCUAGUAGCUGGGACUAUACUCAGAAUACAAGGUGAAGAGGGGCCAGUUUAGGCAGGAUGGUUCUGAGUGGAGUGAAGGAAGGAGCCGUGUAGGCCUCUGGUGGAUGCAGAAGAAAGAAUGAAUGCAAAAGUCCUAAGGCAGGAACAAACUCUUCCUGCAGCUCUUGCCUUACCGCGUGAUCCUGGAGAGUGUCACCUGUCCCUCAGGUUCUCGUUUACAACAGAAGGUGGCGCCACGUGUGAUAAUUCAAGCAUCCCUUUUAACACUCAUGUAAUCAUGUAAUGCAGCCAAUAAACACUGCCACAAGGAUCUGUUUUACAGUUAUGCUCCUUAGAAGCAUUUAUGAAGCAUUUCACACGAAUUCUUCUAGUACUUGCUGG
rnacentral:lncRNA from 10 species